ACUCCUACGGGAGGCAGCAGUUGGGAAUCUUGCACAAUGGGCGAAAGCCUGAUGCAGCAAUCCCGCGUGAGUGAUGAAGGCUUUCGGGUCGUAAAGCUCUUUCAGCAGGGAAGAAUAACUGACGGUACCUGCAGAAGAAGCACCGGCUAACUCCGUGCCAGCAGCCGCGGUAAUACGGAGGGUGCAAGCGUUGUUCGGAAUCAUUGGGCGUAAAGCGCGUGUAGGCGGUUGGUUAAGUCUGAUGUGAAAGCCCGGGGCUUAACCCCGGAAGUGCAUUGGAUACUGGCUAACUAGAGGGCGAGAGAGGAAAGCGGAAUUCCUGGUGUAGGGGUGAAAUCCGUAGAUAUCAGGAGGAACAUCAGAGGCGAAGGCGGCUUUCUGGCUCGUUACUGACGCUGAGACGCGAAAGCGUGGGGAGCAAACAGGAUUAGAUACCCUUGUAGGCUCUGC
rnacentral:rRNA from 1 species